GGGCCCGUAGCUUAGCCUGGUCGGAGCGUUCGACUGAUAAUCGAAAGGUCGUGAGUUCAAAUCUCAUCGGGCCCA
rnacentral:tRNA from 1 species